AGAACACAGAAAAUGGAAAGAAACAAAGUACCAAAGUAUUCAGGAUACCAACAGUAACAGCACAGUUCCCACAUCAGCCUUCCAGCACUUCCAGCAUGGAGUGAGAACAAUGUGGGGAGGCAGAAACGGCUCCUCACCCCAUCCAUGACCCGUGGUGCUCACUACCAGGCUUUGUUCGGGAACCCUCCAGACGUUUUUCUAUGCAUGGGAGUAGAUGCAUACAUCCACACAUAUACAGGCUCUUUACAUGUAUAUAUCAUACAAUUAGACUCUUUUAUAGACUUUUAAAUUUGAAGAUCAGGUGCUAUUACUCUUUCAUAUUUUUGCUAUUUUCCAAAUUUUCUGACAAAAACAUGUUUAUUAAAUAACUGUCAAAAAGACCAGGAAGUGAUGUAACACAGAGCCAUGUGGUGAGGCCUCUCUCCUGACCAGGACAGGGUGUGGCCCCUAAGCUGCAGGGGCCUGAACUCUGACCCCACUGCUACGCCCACCUUGUGUGGAAUCGAGGGAGGAUCUGCUAACAGAAGAGUGAGGACACCCACAGUCCCUCAACACGCCAUACCUAGGAUGUCCAAGGUCCAACAGGAAAUCACUCGUCGUGUCAGGGACCAGGAAAACCUGACUCUGGUCUCCGAUAUGACACAAAUGUUGAAAUUAUCUGACAUGGGUUUUAAAGUAAGCAUCAUAAAAAUGCUUCAGUAAGCAACUACUAAUCUGCUUAAAACAAAUGAAAAAACAGGACUCAGUAAAGAACUAGCAACUCAGCAGACAGAAUUUAUAAAGAACCAAAUGGAAAUUUAGAACCAAAAAAUACAGUAACCAAAAUAAAAUAAAAUUCCAAGGGCUCAACAGCAAAAACAGAGGAAAAGUCAGUGAAGCGGAAGACAGGACAACAGAAAUUACCUAAACUAAGAAAGAAAAGAGAAUUUAAGAAAUGAACAGUCAGAGCUACACGGGGAGCAGAGAAGGGCAGACGGCAGGCCCGGGACACCUGCAGAGUCGUGGAGGAAACGUCCCAAACUGGGAAGUGCCAUCAACCUACAAGUCCAAGCAGCAUAGUGAACCCCAAAAGAGAUGAACCCAAAGAAGUCAUGCCAAAACCAUAAAGGUCAAAAUUCUCAAAACUAAAGGUAACAGAAAAAAUUCUAACAGCAGUAAGAGAGGAAUAGUAUCUUGGCUCCAAGAGUUAUGAAAGAAUAAGAAUGGAACAAAAUAAGUAUUCACUCUAAAUUAGAAAAAUAACCUAAGCCACAAAGGCAAAGAAAGGACUUAUUAAAGGUAAAUGCAAAAAGUAGUAAACUCGAAACAACAAAACAGUAAGUUCAAAAUAAAUUACAAAGAUGAUUCUUUUAAAAGCACAAAAUAAAAUAGAUAUUUAUCACAGAUAAUUUUCCAAGGACAGACAAUAAAACUGACCACAGAAGGAGUUUCCUAGGGACCAAGCCCUACAAGCAGAGCUCACAAAGAGCCCCCGCACCCCACACCCGGGCCAGCCAGGCGCGGGACAGCUCCAUCUAACUCCCUAUGAACUCGAUCACUUUUCCAGAGCACAAGGAAAGAAAAUGUCCAGUUUUUUCACUCAAGGUCACAGGGCCUGGAAGCAGCAGAGCUGGGAUCUGAGUAAAGAUAAUCAUAGACAGUUUGGGUAUCUGAAGACCAUGGUUCCCAAAACUACUUUACCUUUGGCCGAGCUUGGUCAAUCAGCCCUGCUUGGCACUGCCAGAGGAAACGGACUUGGAUGGGGUCUCCAGAGGCUGAAGGGCACUGUGCAAGGAAAAGGGGUAGCUUCAUUGGGCUGUACAGCUCCUACGUCUGUCGAAAAUGCAGCUGUUACCCCUGAGGGUAAACCAGGAAAGCAGCCAAAAGGAGCCGAAGGACACAGGAAGGAUGAUGGGAAAAAGGCUGACAAGAGAGCCACUUGAGUAAUUUUGUCUAUUUGAUAAAAUACGGUACCAAACAUAUCACUUCUCCAGGAAAAGGCACAAAUGUCACCGAGUCAGGACCCAUCCCUGGAGACUCCAUAGCUGAAGGGAAAGGAAGAGAAAGGACAGGAAAGGAAAGGCUGCAGUACUGAUGAAUAAAAGUAAAAGUAAAUGACAAACACACCCUAAAAAGUAACAAUCGUGACUUAAGAUGUACUUUG